rnacentral:rRNA from 1 species
AUUGAACGCUGGCGGCCGGCCUAACACAUGCAAGUCGAACGAGUGGCGGACGGGUGAGUAAUGUCUGGGAAACUGCCUGAUGGAGGGGGAUAACUACUGGAAACGGUAGCUAAUACCGCAUACCAUCGGAUGUGCCCAGAUGGGAUUAGCUAGUAGGUGGGGUAACGGCUCACCUAGGCGACGAUCCCUAGCUGGUCUGAGAGGAUGACCAGCCACACGGGAACGAGACAACGGUCCAGACUCCUACGGACGGCAGAAGUGGGGAAUAUGGCACAAUGGGCGCAAUCCUGAGGCAGCCAUGCCGCGUGUAUGAAGAAGGCCUUCGGGUUGUAAAGUACUUUCAGCGGGGAGGCGUUACCCGCAGAAGAAGCACCGGCUAACUCCGUGCCAGCCGCCGCGGUAAUUC